AGGAUGAACGCUGGCGGCGUGCCUAACACAUGCAAGUCGAACGCGCUCCAUUCAGUAGCAAUACUGAUGAAGAGUGAGUGGCGAACGGGUGAGUAACACAUGAGCAACCUGCCCCGAAGACUGGGACAACACCGGGAAACCGGUGCUAAUACCGGAUAUCCCUAUCGGACCGCAUGAUCUGAUAAGGAAAUGGAUUCCGCUUCGGGAGGGGCUCGUGGCCUAUCAGCUAGUUGGUGAGGUAAUAGCUCACCAAGGCAUCGACGGGUAGCUGGUCUGAGAGGACGAUCAGCCACACUGGGACUGAGACACGGCCCAGACUCCUACGGGAGGCAGCAGUGGGGAAUCUUGCGCAAUGGGCGAAAGCCUGACGCAGCAACGCCGCGUGGAGGACGAAUGCUUUCUGAGUUGUAAACUCCUUUCAGCAGGGACGAUUGUGACGGUACCUGCAGAAGAAGCACCGGCCAACUACGUGACCG
rnacentral:rRNA from 1 species